rnacentral:pre_miRNA from 1 species
CAAGUACUCCCUCCGUCCGAAAAUAAUUGUCAUCAAAAUGGAUAAAAAAGAUGUAUCUAGAACUAAUAUACAUCUAGAUACAUCCCCUUUUAUUCAUUUUGAUGACAAGUAUUUCCGGACGGAGGGAGUACUAC